CAUCUUAGAACUCUGCCUACCACGCUCUCUAAAAUCGCUACCCUAUCCCACCCCUGCAAUAUACAUAUACAUCUAUCUCCAUCCCUGCUUUGUGUUCCUCCGUAGUAAUUUUUACCAUUUGAAUGCAAAUAUGUUAUAUAUUUAUUUAUUCUCUGCUUCAUUUCACUCAAAUAUAAGCCUCACAAGGACAGAAGUUUUUGUUUCCUGCUAUAUCCCCAGUCUGCGGAACAGUGCCUGGUUCAAUAAAUAUUUAUUGAAUAUUUAUUGAUAAGUAAGUUAUCAAUAAAUAAUUAUUGAAUUAGUCUACUAUUUACUAUGUAGGUUUACUUUUAAAACAUCAGGAUCUCAACAUCUCUAUACUGCUUUCUAUGAUCUGUUUCUACUGUCAUUGCAUUGCAUCAGAACUUUGUUGAGUCACAAAGGAUGAAAUUAAAUGUUAUCCCUUCCCAUGGUAACAAAGCUAUAUAGUUCUAUUUUCAUUUCAAGUUCCACUGCAAACAUGGAAGAUUUCAGCCAACUAUGUGAAACACAGUAAGGUUAAACAAGAAGAGAGUUCUUAGAGCACGGUCUUCAGCAUCUCAAAGUAGAAGCAGUAUAAACGCUGGGGUGAAUUUGGCAGCAUUUCCCAAGCAUUUUAACUGACCUUUCCAUGGAGGCGGAAUUCAAAGAGGGGCCAGGAUUUCCCACCCCCUGGUGUAUGCCCUGUGCGUAAUCCCUGGGCUAGUAAAUACCAUGGAUUUGACUCCCGUGAUUGGCAGAAAAGAAUCCAAAGAGAUUUGAAGUCUGACAGGAAUCUGAUGAGGGAUCCUGCUGUUGGCUGCAAUGUUCCUGAGAAGGCCCACAGCAAACAAAUGCAAGUGGCUUCUAGAAGCUUCUAAAAACUUCAGUCCUUGGCCUGCAGCCAGGAAACACGGACCUCAGCCCUGCCGACAACCUGAAUGAGCUCAGGAGCAGAUUCCUCCCCAUGGCCUUACUUGAGAGGGCUGUGUAGCCAACUCCUUGCGCUGGAGACCCUGACAGAGAACCCUGCUGAGCCAUGGCAGACUUGGAACCACUGAGCUAAGAAAUGGGUACUGUCUGUGGAAAUCUGUUAUGCAGC
rnacentral:lncRNA from 1 species